rnacentral:lncRNA from 1 species
CGCCACCUGUAAGAGGCAGCACCAUAAUGACACUGUGGAUAAGUGGCUGGGCCGUGAAGUGGGUGCCCAGUGGUUUUCUCCACACGAAGGCGCCUGAAUCUGUGAAGUAGUUGGCACUUGGAGAAGCAGGGACAGCUGGGGACAGCACACGUACAGGACGGGAAGCGCGAGAAGGAGGCGCGCCAGACGGAGGGUCCUUCCUCGUUAGCUCCGCUCGGUGGCUCCUUUUCCAUGACUACAACCGCGAGGAGGAAUCUGCCAAGCCCUCGGUGCGGCUAGUUUCCUGCCUGAUAAAGAGCCUGCUGCCGUUGGUAUUCGAGGAGUUUCUGAAUCACCCCAGGGCCUGACGCUCCGAAGGAAGGUGGAUCCUGGGGGCCCUGGGGUGGGACCCACAGUCCGGCGGAAUCCAGGCGGGAUGACACCCCCUCGAGUCUCGGAAACCGGCUCGCGGGUGCGAUGCGGUGCCGUGCGGGCACCUGCGCUCUUGUGCCUGCCGCACUGUGCAGCUCCGGUGGCACACCGGGUGACGCGGGGGCGAGGGCGAGAGGAAGUCGAGGCGCCGGGGCG